rnacentral:rRNA from 1 species
UACAGAGGUGGCAAGCGUUGUUCGGAAUUACUGGGCGUAAAGGGCGCGUAGGCGGUCUUUUAAGUCUUGUGUGAAAUCCCUCGGCUCAACUGAGGAACUGCACGGGAUACUGGAAGACUUGAGUUCGGGAGAGGGAAGCGGAAUUCCGGGUGUAGCGGUGAAAUGCGUAGAUAUCCGGAGGAACACCGGUGGCGAAGGCGGCAUCCUGGACCGACACUGACGCUGAGGAGCGAAAGCCAGGGGAG